AGGUGGCGAGCGUUAUGCGGAUUUACUGGGAGUAAAGGGAGCGUAGGCGGAAGAUUAAGUGGGAUGUGAAAUACCCGGGCUAAGCUGGGGUGCUGCAUUCCAAACUGGUUAUCUAGAGUGCAGGAGAGGAGAGUGGAAUUCCUAGUGUAGCGGUGAAAUGCGUAGAGAUUAGGAAGAACACCAGUGGCGAAGGCGACUCUCUGGACUGUAACUGACGCUGAGGCUCGAAAGCGUGGGGAGCAAA
rnacentral:rRNA from 1 species